CGGGCGUUUUCGUUCGCGAAAAAUGAAGACGUGGCAGUGGAUGCCUUCUUGACGAUGACUGCCCUCUCCGAUGAGUUCCAUUUGCCGUUGUCACCGCAAGCCAGACUAGAAGUCCAGGAGCUCCAGAUGUUGACUGCCGGCACUAUUCCCAUGAGAGAACAAAAGGAUGUUUGGAGCUGCUCUUGGGGCACUGACUAUUCCUCGAAAAAAUUCUAUGAAUUCUACUUCAAAGAUGUGGUGGCUGAUGAGGCCUUCCGCUGGAUUUGGAAAUCCAAGUGCACAAUGAAGCUGAAGAUGUUUGCGUGGCUCUUGGCUGCGGACAUAGUAAAUACAAAAAAUAUGAUUAAAAGGAGACAUUGGAACGUGGGCGAUGGAGUUAAUUGUGUCCUAUGCAAUCUAGGACUUGAGGAAACGGUGGAA
rnacentral:rRNA from 1 species